rnacentral:rRNA from 1 species
GUAUAAAGUGGCGAACGGCUGAGUAACACGUGGGCAACCUGCCCUUUGCACUGGGAUAGCCUCGGGAAACCGAGGUUAAUACCGGAUACUCCAUAUUUGUCGCAUGGCGAAUAUGGGAAAGCUCCGGCGGCAAAGGAUGGGCCCGCGGCCUGUUAGCUAGUUGGUGGGGUAGUGGCCUACCAAGGCAAUGAUGGGUAGCCGGGUUGAGAGACCGACCGGCCAGAUUGGGACUGAGACACGGCCCAGACUCCUACGGGAGGCAGCAGCG